UACGUAGGUGGCAAGCGUUGUCCGGAUUUAUUGGGUUUAAAGGGUGCGUAGGCGGCCCUGUAAGUCAGUGCUGAAAUAUCCCGGCUUAACCGGGAGGGUGGCAUUGAUACUGCGGGGCUAGAGUCCGGAAGAGGCGAGUGGAACUCCUGGUGUAGCGGUGGAAUGCGCAGAUAUCAGGAAGAACACCGACGGCGAAGGCAGCUCGCUGGGACGUUACUGACGCUGAGGCGCGAAAGCGUGGGGAGCAAACAGG
rnacentral:rRNA from 1 species